rnacentral:rRNA from 1 species
GAUGAACGCUGGCGGCGUGCCUAAUACAUGCAAGUCGAGCGAACAGACGAGGAGCUUGCUCCUCUGACGUUAGCGGCGGACGGGUGAGUAACACGUGGAUAACCUACCUAUAAGACUGGGAUAACUUCGGGAAACCGGAGCUAAUACCGGAUAAUAUAUUGAACCGCAUGGUUCAAUAGUGAAAGACGGUUUUGCUGUCACUUAUAGAUGGAUCCGCGCCGCAUUAGCUAGUUGGUAAGGUAACGGCUUACCAAGGCAACGAUGCGUAGCCGACCUGAGAGGGGGGGAGCCCACACGGGAAGUGAGACCGGCCACAGCCCCCGCGGGGGGGAGCAGGGGGGAAUUCUCCCGAAAGGGGGAAAAGCGGAAGGGGCAACGCCGGGGGGGUUAAUAAGGGUUUGGGAACCAAAAACCUGUUUUAUGGGGAAAAAAAAAUUGGGAAAGAACCUAGGCAGGUUGGGCGGGGCCAUAAUAAAAAGCCCAGGGCAACCUAGGGC